AGGCUGAACCAGCCAAGUCGCGUGAAGGAUGAAGGAUCUAUGGUUUGUAAACUUCUUUUAUAGGGGAAUAAAGUGUGGGACGUGUCCCAUUUUGUAUGUACCCUAUGAAUAAGCAUCGGCUAACUCCGUGCCAGCAGCCGCGGUAAUACGGAGGAUGCGAGCGUUAUCCGGAUUUAUUGGGUUUAAAGGGUGCGUAGGUGGUAAUUUAAGUCAGCGGUGAAAGUUUGUGGCUCAACCAUAAAAUUGCCGUUGAAACUGGGUUACUUGAGUGUGUUUGAGGUAGGCGGAAUGCGUGGUGUAGCGGUGAAAUGCAUAGAUAUCACGCAGAACUCCAAUUGCGAAGGCAGCUUACUAAACCAUAACUGACACUGAAGCACGAAAGCGUGGGUAUCAAACAGGAUUAGAUACCCUGGUAGUCCACGCAGUAAACGAUGAUUACUAGGAGUUUGCGAUACACAGUAAGCUCUACAGCGAAAGCGUUAAGUAAUCCACCUGGGGAGUACGCCGGCAACGGUGAAACUCAAAGGAAUUGACGGGGGCCCGCACAAGCGGAGGAACAUGUGGUUUAAUUCGAUGAUACGCGAGGAACCUUACCCGGGUUUGAACGUAGUCAGACCGGCCUUGAAAGAGGUCUUCUAGCAAUAGCUGAUUACGAGGUGCUGCAUGGUUGUCGUCAGCUCGUGCCGUGAGGUGUCGGCUUAAGUGCCAUAACGAGCGCAACCCUUAUCACUAGUUACUAACAGGUCAAGCUGAGGACUCUGGUGAGACUGCCAGCGUAAGCUGUGAGGAAGGUGGGGAUGACGUCAAAUCAGCACGGCCCUUACAUCCGGGGCGACACACGUGUUACAAUGGCAUGGACAAAGGGCAGCUACCUGGCGACAGGAUGCUAAUCUCUAAACCAUGUCUCAGUUCGGAUCGGAGUCUGCAACUCGACUCCGUGAAGCUGGAUUCGCUAGUAAUCGCGCAUCAGCCAUGGCGCGGUGAAUACGUUCCCGGGCCUUGUACACACCGCCCGUCAAGCCAUGGGAGCCGGGGGUACCUGAAGUCCGUAACCGCAAGGAUCGGCCUAGGGUAAAACUGGUGACUGGGGCUAAGUCGUAACAAGGUAGCCGUACCGGAAGGUGCGGCUG
rnacentral:rRNA from 1 species